rnacentral:rRNA from 1 species
GUCCUAGCUGUAAACGAUGGGCACUAGGUGUGGGGGGAUCGACCCCUUCCGUGCCGAAGUUAACGCAUUAAGUGCCCCGCCUGGGGAGUACGACCGCAAGGUUGAAACUCAAAGGAAUUGACGGGGGCCCGCACAAGCGGUGGAGCAUGUGGUUUAAUUCGAUGAUACGCGAAGAACCUUACCGGGGCUUGACAUGCAGCAGAAGUUUCGUGGAAACACGUUCGUCCCUCACGGGACUGUUGCACAGGUGCUGCAUGGCUGUCGU